ensembl:lncRNA
GAGGAGGUUGUGAGCCUUCCUGACCAUAUGGAAAGUGAUCAUCCCAGUGUUCAUGAAUUGUCCGAGGUGGAGGAACAGGGGGAAGAACUCUCAGUAGUAGUAGAUCAGACGGAGGAAAGUUCACAGCAACACCAAGACUUGGUGGAGGCUGAAGAGCUGGAGGACAGAGAUGUUCCUACACCUAGUAUCUCAGUUGGGGGUGCUGACUCAACCUAUGACCUCCAAACAAAAAGGAGAGUGAGACCUGUUUUGCACCUCAGUUAUGAUGAACUUGGAAGGCCCACUGACAGACCUGUGACUAUUAGUUACCGAGGUAUGGUAAUUCAGAUUUGCUACGACCCUGACUCCUAAAUGUUAAUGCCCUAGCCAGUACUCUUUAGUGAGAUUUUAACUGGCCUAAUGAAAAUAGGUCUGAUGGGGACAUUCAGACAUUCAGAAGGGGGAGGGUGUAGCCCUGGCUAUAUAAGUAGCUCAUUAUUUCAAUUUGUUCAUUAAUAUUGAUAGUUAAUUGCAAAUGUUUAAUGUGUUCAAGAAUGUAUACCUGCAAAGUAUGUGAUGUGUGUCAGUUAAAUGCACAACCUUUUUAUUUGUAUUUUGAGGUUUAUGUCAUUAUUUUUGAUAUGGUAUUGAUAUGUACUACAGCUCCAGUGAACCCUGAAGUAGUCUCAGGUAGAGGGGUGGGAGUAAGUGGGGAGCCGUGUGCACUCUGCAGGAAGCGAGAGAGACGAGAGCUGAACAGUGUCGAGUGAACGCAGAGUUCUUAAAGGGCGACAGACGCAUUUUCGGGUUGACGGAUAGUUAACUGGAGUCGAGAACUGUUGUACCCUUCUGUGAGUAGGAGGAGACGGACGUCUUGCUGGUGUGUCAGAGAGGUCCCUUCUGCUGGUGUGCUGAAGUUAUGUGUUCACGUGGGAGCACGUGGAAAGGACGACUGUGAGUGCUGCUG